GUUUAGUUUUCGUAGUUGGUAUGACAUAUUGAUGAAGUAAUGCCGAGUACGUAAUGAAGUAUGUACCGGUGUGUCAUAUGGUCAUCGUAAAACUUUUGUUGUCUUUGUACGUUGACAGUUCUAUUGCGGAAUUGUAGCGAAUGUUUUGGAAAAUUAUGUAACCGCAGUACACCGCAUUUUAUAGCGGCUCUGAAAGGUGGGGUGUCUUACUGAGCCACAACAAUAAAAUUCUUGUAACGGCAACAAAGGAUCUCCAUACCUGAUCUGAGCCAAUGGGGGCGUGGUUAUCAACAUCAAUUUUGAUGGGUGGUUGGGUGUCAACAUCCAUAACUAUGGGUGGUUGGUACCCCAGCUGGUAUUCUGCACCAUCAUCUCAAGAAGAGAAUGAGAAAAACAGAAAAACCUUGGUCCAUACACUUGACUGUCCAUUAUGUUUAGGUAACAGAAAAUUUGGAGUAAUCAGAUGCAAGUAUGGUCAAAGUAAAUGUAAGACAUGCAGACCUAAUGUUGGUUUGUGUCCAUACUGGAGAGAAUCUGUUCGUCAAAGGGUUAAAUGUAAAAACAUUGAAUUUGCGGCAAAUGACAGGCUUCAGGUACGUAAACCAUCCACUGUUGGUCGUAAAGUGCCACAAGGGGAGAGAUUGGAUCACGAAAAGAAUCGUCACUUCAGUAUUUACAAAUGUGGUUUGGCAGUGUGAAGUUAAAUGUGGUAUAGUAAAAUAAAAAAUUUGUAAAAGGGUACCUGCACAUGUAAUGUGUGGUAUUAUUUUGACAGAAGCUCAAAAGGUGCACAGUGCAUUUUUUUUAUAGCUGUGAUGUACUUGGAAUUUGAUAUAAUUCAUGAAUGUUCCAAGAUUUCCAUUAUGUUGAUAAAAUGAGCCAUAUUCCCAACAGUUUAAUAUUAAAUAUUUUGUGUUAUCAGUUUUCACACCAUUAUUGGAAGUAUUAAGAGCAGCAUCAUAUGAACAUUAUGCAUGUAUUCAGCAACCCAUAGUUUACAUAUUUCUGUUCGUACUGAUUUCUGAUACAAAUUUCAAUUCUAGAGGUAUCAAAAUUAAUUAUUAAUCCUGUGAAUAUUUUUGCAAUUUCGGAAUGCAUGGGGCCCUGAAAAUUGUCUUACCAAUAUAAGAAAUAUCUUUCUGAUUCUAAGCACAUGGUUUAUAAGAAAUGAAACAUGUCUAGCUGGCAAAGUGCAGAGAUAUUUAUUUUAGUUCGUAAUGUACUGUCAAAAGGAAGUUCUGUACCACAAACAGAACAACAUUUUAAAGUAAUGUGACAUUUUAUUGUGUGUUUCAUGUUUGUCUGUAGUGUUGUAUAGCAUACAUAAUCUUAGCUUCUGAAUUUUUCAGUUUGUACUUAAAAAAAUUGAUUACUUUAUUGUUGCUAUGAUUGUCAAUGGAAAUGUGACUUUCAUUGAAAUGCUCACAGAAAAAAAAGUUCUGUACUUAAUUUUUGACUUGCAGCUGGUCACUAAUAUUAUAGGCCUUACAGGCACAGAAAAAAGAUUCUUUCCAGCAAUGUGAUAAAAUUCUCAGUUAUUAAAAUUGCAGUGUGUACUAAAUCAUGAUAGCACAGAAUACUAAAACCCAUAAAUUACAGGGUAAUACAUUAGAAGCACAAUAUUGCACCUUACGAAGUUGGCUUCCUAUUUGUUGUAAGAAUUUUCUAUGUGUGUGAGGGAACUGAGUGAUUAUUUUAUGUAUAAUUUUCUAAAUCACUACUUCAGGCAAGCAGUGUGUAGUGUGCAAUGUUCCUUGAAAAUUGUGAACUGCUAUUUAUUUUAUUAAUAAAAUGCACAGCCAUUGUGGCUUUAAUACCCGUUCAUGAUGGUAUGUUCCAUUUAUAGCAGUUUAUGAUUGUUGCUUUUUUAGUGAUGUAAAUAUUAAAUGACAUUAUUUUUUAUUUUACAUUGUAUCAGUUAUUUUGUAAACUUCUUUUUAUAUUUACAAUUUUAAUCAAUGUCUGCAAGACAGUGAAACUGUGUCAGAAAUAAAUCAUUUGAACAAA